rnacentral:lncRNA from 1 species
UAGACUGGUAAAAGAGGAAAAUAUGUUAUUUAAUGAUUGAAAUGCAAAGGCGUGGUAAGUGUUAUGUUAUACAGUUUAUAUGAUUUCAUGAUGAUGAUAAUGUUAUUACUUUCAUAUGUUGUUUUCAUGGAUCUCACCGAGGUAAGUGAACAGUAAAGGUUAUUAUGUUGAUAAACGAGUUUGUUAUAAAUUAUGCUCCAUUGGUCAUUUUUGCUUUCUACCCACCUUUACUUCCGUGGCGGUGAGAUAGUGUGAUGUCUUUACUAGGCUGGUGUAGCUCAUUCCUUAUUUAACCAUUUCAGAUAAGGAAGACGUUGUUCUCGAGCCCGUUCCGCAAGAAGACGGCGAAGGGGACGCCUAAAGACUUCAUAGUUAUAUUUAUAGUUCUUAUUUCGAGUAUCUCUUUUAGUUAGUUUGUUCCUUCAUGUUUUAAGUACGUUUUGGUUAUUGUGUAAGGAAUGUUAAUCAAAAUUUUUAUUACGCUUCC